rnacentral:pre_miRNA from 1 species
UCAGCGCUUAACGGGUGCCGUCGUCAUUCAUUCAUUCGACGGUACCUGUCGAGCGCUUCCC